GCGAGUCCUGUGGCGCGGGGGAGGGGCGGGCGUCUCCUGGACUUGCUUCCACCCGGCUUAAUCCCGCCCGGGGCGGCUCCAACUCCACUGUCGCGCUGUUCUCGGACCAAACUGAGAGUGGGGCGGCUAUUUCUCGGGGCCCAAUGACGAGAUGCAGAUGAACUGAGGAGGAAGAGCGUUUUUAUUUUCUGCAACUGGUUACAGGGAGAAAGGCCUGGAAAUGAUCACCGGACCAACUCAAAAUUACAGUUUUCCAGAACUUACAUACCUUCUAAGCGGUAUGUCUACGUGUAAGUGUGCAUGCAUCUGAAGACAUUAGUGAUGAACUUACGGUCAUCUGUGAGUCCUGAAGACCUUCCUCUGGAGCCUCAAUAAGGGCCUUGCUGUGUCACCCAGGCUGGAGUGCAGUGGUGUGAUCAUAGCUCACUGUGAGGCAGGAAAUUAAGGAAAGAAAGAAUAAUAAAAUUUUAAAAAGAGAAAAAUAAGCUUUCUAUAUUAGGCUGACUCAUCCCAAAGGCAGUAACAGACAAAGCCCAGACCCAGACGAAGUCUUGAUAACAUCAUCAAAGAAGCAGAGGCUCAAAGGAGUGUGCUCUGGAGACUCUCCCAGCACUCCCUCAACAUAAGGAUAAGAAAAAGUUCCCCCUCGAACCCCAACCCCCUCCAUGUGAUUGUACCUUGCUCUGCAAGUUUUAUGAAUUUAUAGAUUCUUGUUUUCUGUAACUAGAAACUUCAAGUAUUCUGUUUUAUCUAAGCAGCACAGUGAAGGUUAUACAACAUGCCUGAGCAGGCCUGGGCUGCGGCCUUCUGGGCCCCAUAGCGAAGGUUAUGAGAUAAGCCUGUGCAAGGCUCUUUUAAGCAAGCCUAGAUAACAGCCAUCUGGACUGCAUAGCAAGAAUUACAUGUAACCCUGGGUUAUGCACCUGUCACAAUUUGAUUAACUGCCUAUGUUCUGUCUCUGUAUCCUUGCUUUCAUGCCACUGUAAGCUUGUUUCAAACUAGCCCACUCCCGUUCAAAGGUGUGUAUAUGAGUCAAGUGCUGUCUUUGUUCUGGGCCCAGUUUUUGGAUGUUAAUCCACUGGGUCUGAGUGCACUCAAUAAAAUUCUCAUGUCCCACCUACCUGUCUCUCCAGUCUCCUGAUUCCCACAACAACCGCAGCCUGUAGCUGGGACUACAGCUACAUUCUUUAAAUUUUGUAGAGAUGGGGUCUUGCUAUGUUGCUCAUGCUGGUCUCCUACUUCUAGCCUCAAGUGAUACUCCCACCUCAGCCUUCCAAAGUGCUGUGAUUACAGGCGUGAGCCACCAUGCUGGGGCACUUCACCCAGCCUUCUUGCUAGUUCUUGAUUUCAAGGGUGAAGGGGCAGGUU
rnacentral:lncRNA from 10 species